GUCAAGAAAAGUCUCUAUCGAGGUUAAAGGUACCCGUACCGCAAACCGACACAGGUGGGUGAGGAGAGUAUCCUAAGGCCAGCGAGAGAACUGUUGUUAAGGAACUCGGCAAAAUGACCCCGUAACUUAGGGAUAAGGGGUGCCACCAUCAGGUGGCCGCAGAGAAUAGGCCCAAGCGACUGUUUACCAAAAACAUAGGUUUCUGCUAAGUCGCAAGACGAUGUAUAGGAGCUGACGCCUGCCCGGUGCUGGAAGGUUAAGGGGAUCUGUUAGAGCAAUCGAAGCAGUGAACUUAAGCCCCAGUAAACGGCGGCCGUAACUAUAACGGUCCUAAGGUAGCGAAAUUCCUUGUCGGGUAAGUUCCGACCCGCACGAAAGGCGUAACGAUUUGGGCACUGUCUCAACAACAGACUCGGUGAAAUUGUAAUUCCGGUGAAGAUGCCGGAUACCUGCGACAGGACGGAAAGACCCCAUGGAGCUUUACUGUAGCUUGACAUUGGGUCUUGGUACUACAUGUACAGGAUAGGUGGGAGGCUUUGAAACCAGGACGCCAGUUUUGGCGGAGCCAUCCUUGGGAUACCACCCUUGUAGUACUGGGACUCUAACCAUAGGCCAUGAAUCUGGUCUUGGGACACUGUCAGGUGGGCAGUUUGACUGGGGCGGUCGCCUCCCAAAAGGUAACGGAGGCGCUCAAAGGUUCUCUCAGUACGGUCGGAAAUCGUACGUAGAGUGUAAAGGCAAAAGAGAGCUUGAUUGCAAGACAUACAGGUCGAGCAAGGAUGAAAAUCGGACUUAGUGAUCCGGUGGUUCUGCGUGGAAGGGCCAUCGCUCAACGGAUAAAAGCUACCCUGGGGAUAACAGGCUUAUCUCCCCCAAGAGUCCACAUCGACGGGGAGGUUUGGCACCUCGAUGUCG
rnacentral:rRNA from 1 species